rnacentral:rRNA from 1 species
UGGGGAAUAUUGGACAAUGGGGGCAACCCUGAUCCAGCCACGCCGCGUGAGUGAUGAAGGCCUUCGGGUCGUAAAGCUCUGUGGGGAGGGACGAACGUCCGGGUGAAGAAUCCGGGGUGACGGUACCUCCUUAGCAAGCACCGGCUAACUUCGUGCCAGCAGCCGCGGUAAUACGAAGGGUGCAAACGUUGCUCGGAAUCAUUGGGCGUAAAGCGCACGUAGGCGGCUUCAAAAGUCGGAUGUGAAAUCCCACGGCUCAACCGUGGACGUGCAUCCGAAACUGGGAGGCUUGAGUACUGAAGAGGAUCGCGGAAUUCCCGGUGUAGAGGUGAAAUUCGUAGAUAUCGGGAGGAACACCAGUGGCGAAGGCGGCGAUCUGGGCAGAUACUGACGCUGAGGUGCGAAAGCGUGGGGAGCAAACAG